AAGUCGUAACAAGGUUUCCGUAGGUGAACCUGCGGAAGGAUCAUUACCAAAUCCAAAACUCUUUAUAAACCCACUUGUGUGAAGUAACGAAAGAAAAAGAAACUUCUUUUUUUCUGAACCAACAAGGAAUCUUUUUGUUUAAGCAAGAAUUAUAAAACUUUUUGAGAAAAGAGAAAAACAACUUUUAACGGUGGAUCUCUUGGCUCGU
rnacentral:misc_RNA from 1 species